rnacentral:misc_RNA from 1 species
AUAUAUUUUUUAAAAAUAGUCAAUUAUUUUUUUAAAUCUCUUAUAACUCUAAGUUAAUUAUUUCGUCACUUUAGUCCUCGAAGACAUCAUUUUCAUCAAAAUAUUAAUAAAAAAAAGUAAUGCACUACAAUAACAACUCCUAGUCAUGGAAGUUUUCACUGAAAAAGAAAAGAGAAUUUUAACAGUAACUAAAUCGCCAAGUGAUGAAUUGUCACUCACUAAUUGUCUAGUUAUAAAUGAAGAUCUUUUUAAAAAUCUUAAAACAAAAUAUGGAGAUGAACUUUUUACUAAAAUUUCUUUUAAUAAUGGUACAAAGUUUGUAUAUAAAAUAUGCUCCCAUGAUAAAAUUAGUCCUGAACUUAUUGGACUAAGUUAUAUUCAAAGAGAAUGGACUCAAAUUACUCUCCAGUGUAAAGCUGAUGUUUCCAUUUGUGUGUGUACAAAAUAUGCUGUUAUUAGUAAAAUCAAUCUUAAAAUAGAUUUUCUUUAUAAAAAAAGCAAAAUAAUGGAGUCUUUCAACACUGAUUUAAUGGCAAAAAAAUUCAAUGAAUGUUUUCGUGACCUUCCCUUUACUAAAGGUCAAAAACUGAUAUUCAAGUUAACUGAUAAAAUGCCAUUAUUACAAUUGGUUGUUGAUAAAAUAGAAUGUAUUGAAAAUAGUGCCUCUACAUUUGGUUUGCUCAAGAUGAACUCAUUAGUGUUCUUUGAUAAAGCAGAUGAUUCAGAGAUAAAUCUUACAGGUAAGUAUCGAGGUGCAGUAACUAUGACAACCACAUCAAUAUUAAAUCCUGACUGGGACUUUUCAAAAAUGGGUGUUGGUGGCUUAGAUAAGGAAUUUUCAGUUAUAUUUAGAAGAGCAUUUGUAUCUAGAGUUUACCCUCCAGAAUUAGUUGAACAACUUGGUUUGCAGCAUGUGAAAGGAAUUCUUUUAUAUGGACCGCCAGGUACUGGAAAAACAUUAAUGGCUCGUCAAAUUGGGAAAAUGCUUAAUGCUUCCGAACCAAAAAUUGUUAAUGGUCCUGAAAUUUUAAAUAAAUUUGUAGGUGAGUCUGAAAAAAAUAUAAGAGUACUGUUUGAAGAUGCUGAAGCUGAUCAAAAAAAAUAUGGAGUUAAUAGUCCACUCCAUAUGAUCAUUUUUGAUGAAAUAGAUGCAAUUUGUAAACAACGAGGAACUGCUACAGGCAGUACUGGAGUAGCCGAUACUGUUGUUAACCAACUAUUAUCAAAGAUAGAUGGUGUGGAACAGUUAAACAAUAUUUUAAUUAUUGGAAUGACAAACAGAAAAGAUCUUAUUGAUGAGGCGUUGCUAAGACCUGGAAGGUUAGAAGUACAGAUGGAAAUAAAUCUUCCAAAUGAAGAAGGUAGAUUGCAAAUUCUCAACAUACACACAUCAAAACUUCAAGAGCAUAAAAAACUUCACUCAGACGUUGAUCUUAAGCAAAUAUCUGUGCAAAUAAAGAACUACAGUGGUGCAGAAAUAGAAGGUUUGGUGCGUGCUGCUACUACUAAUGCUAUGAAUAAACUUGUCAGUCAAGGUCAAGGUAAAGUUGAAAUUAACCCAAAUGCCGUAGAAAGUUUAUUGGUUACCAAAACAGAUUUUGAUGUUGCAGCAAGCGAUAUUAAACCAGCGUUUGGUAGUGGAACUGACGAUGCUGAUCAUUACCUUGACAUUGGUAUUUUUAUAUAUGGCAAUCCAAUUUCCAGUAUUAUUGAAGAUGGUGAGUUACUAAUUAAACAAGCUCAAUCAGGUAGUUUAGUUUCACCGGUCAGUUUGUUAUUGCAGGGUCCUGCAGGAAGUGGUAAAACUGCACUUGCAGCUCACUUGGCAUAUAAAUUGUCAAACUUUCCUUUUGUAAAAGUUGUUUCUCCCGAAAAUAUGAUUGGUUAUUCUGAAAGUUCCAAGUGUCAAGCAAUUAAAAAAAUCUUCGAUGAUGCAUACAAGUCUGAAUUAAGUUGCAUUAUAGUUGAUGACAUUGAACGUUUAUUAGAAUAUGUUCCAAUUGGUCCGAGGUUUUCCAAUGUAGUGCUGCAAACGUUAAUUGUGCUUUUAAAAAAAAAGGCACGAAAAGGUCACAAGCUAUUGAUUAUAGCAACUUGCAAUAGUUCAGAUGUUCUUCGAAGUUUGCAAGUACUUGACUGCUUCAAUGCCACUAUCUAUGUUCCAGCAAUAAGGGAUGUUAUAUAUAUGACAAACAUACUUAGAGAACUCAAUGUUUUUAAUAAUGAUGAGCUACGAGAAAUUGAAAGUUCAAUGAAACAAAAAAGUUUUAAUGUUAGUUUGAAAAAACUAAUCAGUUUAGCUGAGAUGGCAAAGCAAUCUGACGAUUCGAAAGUUAUAAAGUUUAUUUGUUUACUAGACCAACAAUGUGGUAAUAUCUGUUAAGGUAUCAAUUCAGUCAAGAGAUGAAACAAGAAGAAUAACAAUUGGUUUAAUACAGUAGGGGUAUUUUUCGUUUAUUAAUUUUGAAUUUUUCCCCAACUCUACGUUUUUUUUUUGUUUUUUUUUAUCAAUUUCUGUUUAUUAACUUGGUAGUUUUUUCCCCUCAUUUUCUAAAAUCGUUUUGGGAUCAAUCAAUGUGUAUAUUGUUUUUUUUGUUUGUUUGUUUUCAAAGUAA